UAGUCUGGUGCCAGCAGCCGCGGUAAUUCCAGCUCCAAUAGCGUAUAUUAAAGUUGUUGUGGUUAAAAAGCUCGUAGUUGGAUCUCAACAGUCUUGAAGCGGUCAACUUUGUAGUUGUACUGCUUUGUAGACUGUGCUUUUGCUGGAGGUUUAGGGGUGCUCUUAAUCGAGUGUCUCUGGAUGCCAGCAGGUUUACUUUGAAAAAAUUAGAGUGCUCAAAGCAGGCUAAAAUGCCUGAAUAUUCGUGCAUGGAAUAAUAGAAUAGGAUGUCGAUCCUAUUUUGUUGGUUUCGGGACUUGACAUAAUGAUUAAUAGGGACAGUCGGGGGCAUUUGUAUUCAAACGACAGAGGUGAAAUUCUUGGACCGUUUGAAGACAAACUACUGCGAAAGCAUUUGCCAAGAAUGUUUUCAUUAAUCAAGAACGAAAGUUAGAGGUUCGAAGGCGAUUAGAUACCGCCCUAGUUCUAACCAUAAACGAUGCCAGCUAGCGAUCUGCCGCUGUUUUUACUGUAGACUCGGCAGGAAGCUUCCGGGAAACCAAAGCAUUUGGGUUCCAGGGGAAGUAUGGUUGCAAAGCUGAAACUUAAAGGAAUUGACGGAAGGGCACCACCAGGAGUGGAGCCUGUGGCUUAAUUCGACUCAACACGGGAAAUCUCACCAGGCCCGGACACUGGAAGGAUUGACAGAUUGAGAGCUCUUUCUUGAUUCUAUGGGUGGUGGUGCAUGGCCGUUCUU
rnacentral:rRNA from 1 species